rnacentral:rRNA from 1 species
UAANAUAGAACACCUGGGGGAGUACGGUUGCAAGAAUAAAAAAUCAAAAUAAAUUGNCGGGGGCCCGCACAAGCGGUGGGAGCAUGUGGUUUAAUUUGAUGCAACGCGAAGAACCUUACCUACUCUUGACAUCUACAGAAGCCAGCGGAGACGCAGGUGUGCCCUCGGGAACUGUAAGACAGGUGCUGCAUGGCUGUCGUCAGCUCGUGUUGUGAAAUGUUGGGUUAAGUCCCGCAACGAGCGCAACCCUUAUCCUUGUUUGCCAGCACUUCGGGUGGGAACUCCAGGGAGACUGCCGGUGAUAAACCGGAGGAAGGUGGGGACGACGUCAAGUCAUCAUGGCCCUUACGAGUAGGGCUACACACGUGCUACAAUGGCGCAUACAGAGGGCGGCCAACUUGCGAAAGUGAGCGAAUCCCAAAAAGUGCGUCGUAGUCCGGAUUGGAGUCUGCAACUCGACUCCAUGAAGUCGGAAUCGCUAGUAAUCGUGGAUCAGAAUGCCACGGUGAAUACGUUCCCGGGCCUUGUACACACCGCCCGUCACACCAUGGGAGUGGGCUGCAAAAGAAGUGGGUAGUUUAACCUUCGGGAGGACGCUCACCACUUUGUGGUUCAUGACUGGGGUGAAGUCGUAACAAGGUAACCG